rnacentral:pre_miRNA from 1 species
UUAGCCCAAUUUUGUAUGCAGUUGGAACAGCGCCCCUAGCGGCAAACGUAGGCCAACGUUCCAACUCCAUACAAAUCUGAGUUA